CGACCUGAGCUCAGGCAAGGUUACCCGCUGAACUUAAGCAUAUCAUUAAGCGGUGGAAAAGAAACUAACCAGGAUUCCCCUAGUAACGGCGAGCGAACCGGGAAUAGCCCAACUUGAAAAUCUCCCCUUGGAGAAUUGUAGUCUACAGAAGCGCCCUCAUGGGCUGGCGGAACUCAAGUCGGAUCGAAUGCCGCGUCAGAGAGGGUGAUAACCCCGUCGGUUCCUGCCUAGUCCUCUCACGAGGUGCUUUCCACGAGUCGGGUUGUUUGGGAAUGCAGCCCUAAUUUGGAGGUAAAUCCCUUCUAAGGCUAAAUACUGCUGAGAGACCGAUAGCGAACAAGUACCGUGAGGGAAAGAUGAAAAGAACUUUGAAAAGAGAGUUAAAAGUGCUUGAAAUUGUUGAGAGGGAAGCGAUUAGCGCUUGUGUGUGCCCCCAGGCUUAAGUGUGCCUAACGGCCCAUUGAAUGUGCUGGGUGCUGGUCAGAGUGGGUUGUCUUGGCGGGAAAACAGUUGGGUCCACCCCGGUAACCCGGCCGAUGCCGCCGAGAUGACCAAGGCGUGAAGGUUGCUUUGUCCUUCGGGAUCCGCAUCCUAAAGACUCUGGCAGAAAAGCGUUAAUCGACCCGUCUUGAAACACGGACCAAGGAGUCUAACAUGUAUGCGAGUUGGCGGGUUGAAAACCCGUAAGCGCAAGUAACCUGACUGGUGGGAUGGCCUGUGCCUGCACCAUCGACCGACCAUGUUGCUUUUGCGAAAGNGUUUGAGUGCGAGCAUACCUGUUGGGACCCGAAAGAUGGUGAACUAUGGCCUGGGGGUGAAGCCAGAGUAC
rnacentral:ncRNA from 1 species